rnacentral:lncRNA from 1 species
CUCAGUGUAGCCGAAACAUUUGAUCCUUUUAACAGAAAGGAGAAAUGAAUAAUUUAGAACUAUAAUGAAGCUUCCAAAAUAUCUAGGGGCAGGGAGACACCAGCAAAUACCAAGAUCGCAUGAAUGCCUAAACAGAGCAGUCCACAGUAAGCUAUGAGCAUCCAGCCCUCAAACUGGAAAAGACAGCGGAGUGGUGGGUUGAUGAAGAAUGGAGUAACAAUAAAGGAGGCAGAUGAACAACAACAAAAAAAGAUUGGACAGGUUCUUUAUGUUUUGAGUACCAUGGGGCGAAGUAUACAUUUUAUUUUUAGAAGACUCCUGAGAGAAAGUAAAGGCUCAUAGAAUGAAGCUCAUACAUUUAUACAGACUUGUUUCAUUUGAAUUUCAAAGAGAGCUUAUUGGUAAUAUCCUUACAAUGUGUAAUAUCCUUACAAUGUGUAAUAUCCUUAACAACGUGAAGAGGAUUUGGCCUUGUCUUAAGGUACAGUGAGGAAGUGGCGAGCAGAGAGCAGGUAUGUUCUUUUAUUUAUUUUUAAAAUUCUUUACAGAAGUAUACAGGAGUAUAAGCGCUUUACAGAGCUGUGUUUCUGCUGCACAAUGAAGUGAAUCAGCUGAAUGCGUACCUUCCUACCCAUCUAGGUCAUCACAGAACACUGAGCUGAGAUUCCUGUGCAGUACAGCAGGUUCCCACUAGCUAUUCAUGCGUAAAAUGUG